ACAUCUGAGGAGUAGUGGUGGUGGUGGCUGGCAGUGGCAGUGAUGGCUAUGAUGAGGGAGGAUUGGCAGCAUGAGGGUGAGGCAAUGCGUGUUAACUGCUUUCACAAGGCUGGGCUCAUAGCCUCUGUAUUGUUCAUGUGGUCAGGGCAAGCAUGACUGCAUGCUUAUAUUGUAGAGGUUUCAUCAAAAGCUAUGUACAGUUUUACUAUUUCUGACAAGCAGUGAAAAGAAGUUGUUUUUCUCACUACAUAACUCCUUGUGAUAGAGUGGUUUCUGAGCCAAGUUCUGCAAGUCUUUGGGGGAGUAGGAAAAGGUUUUGGAUGGUUCCAAAUUCUUGAAGUGACAACUGACAUUUAAAAAAAAUAAUUUUGCUCUUCUUCAGAAAUGAAAACAAACAGUAAACUACACACCUCAGAGCAGAAGGAUACAGUUCUUGGCUUUUUGGAUCAU